CCAGGACUAUAGGUGUGAGCCACCACACCCAGCCUCCAUUAUAAUCCUAUAGGACCACCAUGGAAUAUAUGGUCCCACACUGUCCAAAACAUCAUCAUGCAGCCCAUGAAAUUAAACUGUUUCAAGGAGAAAAGCAAAGAACACAAAUGAAAGAUGGGUGAGGAGGAAUCAAUUGUGUGAACACUCAAGAGAUGAAGACGCUGAGGUCCCAGUAGACCACCGGCUGUCAGCAGCGGAAUAUGAUAGCAGAUUUGUUAAGAGCCAAGAGAGAGAAUCUUCAUGUCCAAGGGUCAGCAUGCAGCUCAUAGAGGGGCCGGAAAUCACAGCUGUGUCUGUGCUACUUCUUCCCAUCUUCAGGUGCCAUGAGUGAAUCAGGAAAAGAUAUUGGUACUGUAUUAGUCUGUUCUCAUACUGUUAAUAAAGACAUACCUGAGACUCUGUAAUUUA